rnacentral:ncRNA from 1 species
GAUAUCUGGAUUGUGGCGGCCAAGUGUUCAUAGUUAUGUUGCUUUUUGAUCCUUGGAUGUCGGCUCUUCCUAUAAUUGUGAAGCAGAAUUCACCAAAAUCGAGUUCUUGAAAAGAUGUGUUUUUCAGUCUUCCAUCACAGUAGAAGUAUUUACAUUUUCCAAAUUUCUCUUUAGUUGUUUUUUUUUUUUUUUAGCAUUUUAUAUUAGAGAUGUGGAUCUGUGGUUUAUAUUAAUGGAGACAAAUA